CAUGAACUUUUUUCCAUUUUAAGCCAUUUUUCAUUUCAAUCAAUAGCCAUGUUAAACCAUUUUUAAGCCAACUUCCAAACAUUUACAUUAGACCAUCAUUCAAUUCCAAGUACAUAUAUUCAACCAUUACAACCAUGUUUAUACAAAUUCCAUACAUAUUUCAUAUAUUCAAUGUAUUCAAUAAACCAACUACAAAGUUCAUAUACUCCAAUAGCCAAAUCCAAAGCCCUGUAUUUUUCACUGACAAUCUCCAAGCUUCAUAACUAAUCCAAGUCCAAACAUGUAAACAUCCCUGCAAAUCCAAGCCGAGUUUGAAUCCAUCAUACACUUCAUGGCCAAUGACAACCUGCAUAACUGUAAUAGAAAAAACAUGAUUCCACAAGCAAGCCAUUGAAUUCAAGACCCUGCGUCAUUGUCCAAACAGAGGAAAAAUAAAAACCAGUCUUAGCCUGCAAGAAAAAGCUAAAUGCACUAUAACUCAGUUCUAAACAAAAUCCUCUAACUUCCUUCUUCAUUUACACUCACCAUUAAACUAACAACGUUCUAACUGAUCAUUAUCCAACUAAAUAAUUAUUUCCUAACUUCCUAACUACCUGUAAUAGAAAGCAAACAACAUAAAAUAAUUGAGAUUGUGUAUAAAAGCAUCACUACAACAUUCACUCUCUCACUUUUCUUACUCACACAAAAAUUCUCAAUCACUGAAAACAAAAUCGUCUUCUCAACUCACCUUUCAGCAAUCUCAGGAAUUUUCUCACUUUUCUUGAGAUUUCAAAAAUCAUCUCAUUCACAUUUUAUCACCUUCAUCACCCUCUGAUUCUUUCACUUUUCUGAACUCACAUAAAAAUUCUCAAUCACUGCAAAAAGAAUCAUAUUCCUCACUCAUUCUUCACAGAACAAUCAUCAUCCUCUUCACUCCUCUCAAGAAUACUCGUCAAUCCAUAUUUAUCACCAUAUAAACAAUUCUCUCACUUCAGAACCACAACACACGCAUAGAAGAAGAGAAUCGAAGGCACGUAACAGAAGAAGAAGGAGAAGACAAAGAGAAGACACGCGAACAAAGAGAACACAAAGAAGAGUUUCAAGAUUGUACCAGAAGCCAAUGUAUUAUCCUGUAGGUCUCCAUUCUUCUUUUCAUCGUUUUAUAAAAUAAAAGUUACCACUAUGUAGCCCUCCAUGAGGGGAAUCAAAGCCCCAAGGUGGAGUGGCUUGAUUCCCCUCUGUUUUGAUUUAAUUUGAAAUCUCUUAGUUAUGGUUCUUCACGUUUUCCAUUCGAUUUGAAUAGUUCAAGAAGAAUUAGGAGUUUCCAUUAUCAUUUUUGGAUUCAGGGCAUAGAAAUGGUUUAGGUGAUGUUCUCGAUUGAGUUUAAGGAGUGUCUCUGUCGCCGGAGAUGGCCUCCGACGCGACGGAGGGAGGACUGAGAGAGAAGGGAGAUGACGUGUUCCAUAGUUUAGUUUUGAGUUCUUCAACAUGUUUUGCAUGUGCAUUUUAUUACUUUUAGUUUAUUAGUUCUAGUUAUUGAUGACUCAUUUCCAUGUCAACUUCAACCUUAUCCAUUCCAAUUGCACAUGUUGAUUUUCGUGUGGGCUUGUGUGUUUGGACCUAUUUGCAU
rnacentral:lncRNA from 1 species